rnacentral:SRP_RNA from 1 species
GCUGGGCACGGUGGCGCGUGCCUGUAGUUCCAGCUACUUGGGAGGCUGAGGCUGGAGGAUCAGAUGGCUUGAGCCCAGGAGUUCUGGGCUGUAGUGCGCUAUGCCAAUCGGGUGUCUGCACUAAGUUUGGCAUCAAUAUGGUGACCUCCUGGGAGCAGGGGACCACCAGGUGCCUAGGGAGGGGUGAACCGGCCCAGGUCAGAAACGGAGCAGGUCAAAACUCCCGUGUUGAUCAGUAGUGGGAUGGCGCCAUUGCAUUCCAGUCUGGGCAAGAUAGCGAGACCCAGUCUCU